GUUUUUCCUUGGCUCUAUGGUGUGGGAAGGGCUGCAGACCAUGUGAUCAGAACUGGGCUUGUUCAGGACUCAUACUCCAUUUUAGAGACAGUAUGCCUUCAGACUUCAGUAGGAACUGUAUGCUUUAGAUUCCAUUGGACUUCUAGACUAGCCAGAGACUCUAUUAGACUCUCAGAAGAGAGAGAUGCUUUGGACUAUAGACUAUCGAUUCUAAGAAAGAUGCCCUGUGUUAUCUACACAGAGAAGCUACUUCAAAUCCUAUUUCUAACUGGAUUGAUAAGCAAAGUACCUGCAUGCUGAAUACAUGAAGUCUAUUUAAUUGAGAGUUCUUGGUGCAGACUGCAAAUGGAGACUAUUGACAAUGGUACAAGUGAUCAGCUCACAGAUGGGGAUGUGGACAAGGAAGCUCUGUCUGAGAUUUCUGAAGACGUUUUCUAUGGGCUGAAUCCAGAGGAGAAGGAAUGUCUAGAGUACUUUCUGCAAACAAUCAACACCUUUGAUGGGGAUAUCUUAAACAACAAUGAUGAAGAAAGUCAUGAAGAAAUGUCAGAAUCUCUAGGUUCUGAGGACCAAGCCGAACAUGCAGUUGAUUCCAGGAUACAAGAAAGUAUGCCUCUAGAGGCAGCCCCAGCAAAAUCUGUUUCUCCUCACCCAGCUGUCUUUGCAACUAAAAUGAUCAAGUCCUCUUCAGAGGAAUGUAGUGACAUAACCCUGAGGAUCAAGAGCAAUUGUCCUAAAAUCAUGGGACCUCACAGAUUAGCAGAUCCUCAUUCUGUAAACCUCAGAAAGUUUGACACGAUCAUGAGAUCAGGUGUCAAUGUCCAAGAGCUCCGUUCUCGUUUCUUACUUCAGCUUGGUGGCUCUACCACUGUGGACAGGGAAACAACAGAGUUACCUAAGGAUGGAGGUUUGCAGAAAUUGAACAACCUGCAGAGAAACAAAAGUGUCCCAACUGUUAAGAGCCCUCAAAUGUCCAUUGCUUGUCAGCAAACCCAGAUUUCACCUGCUGAAAGGAUGGAACAUGAAGUCACCGAAAGUACCACUAGCACAGCUGAAAAGCCUUUCUAACAAAUGCUACUCCAAAAGCAGGCACUUUCUCCCUAAAAGUUUAUUUUCAUUAUGAUACCCUCAUUUCCUUUUUGGGUUGUGUUUUUUGUUUUACAGAGUAUGCUUUUCAAUAUGUAAAUUACUCUGUGGGUCCUCCCAGCUGUAUAGCACAGUAUAAAUGCUUUAUCUAAUAAUAAAAGAGGCAUAUGUCUGGCUGGCUUUGUACAUCUUGGCUGUAAGACCAUGAAACAUAGCCCCCUUUUCUACAUUGCCAUAUAGUGCAGUUUCAAACUCAUAUAAUGCAGUUUAACUGCACUGAACUGCAUUAUAUGAGUCUAGACUGACCAUAACAUGCAGUUUUGAACUGCAUUAUAUGGCAGUGUAGAUGGGGCCAUAAAGCCUUGUAAAUCAGCAUGUAUACUAGACAAACCCUAGGCAUCUGUAUCAUGGGUUUGUUAAUUUUGGUUUGUUGAUGUCUCCAUAGUUUUCAGUAUCAUCUUCCACCUCUUAUAUUCAGCUGCUGUUUAAAGGGGAGAGCAGAACACAAACCUGCCUGGAACUCUAAAAAGAAAAAUCCAGUUUAAGUUGUCAAAGGUUUUUUCUACAUCUAAAAUACCCUUUUUCACCUAGAAACUCUGGAUGGGAGAAUGUGUUUCUGACUCAUGUGAAGCUUGUUCAAUAAACAAUGUGAAGCUUGUUCAGUAAACAAGGCAAUAAACAAUGUGUAGUACUAAGAAAAUAUUAAUUUCUCUUAUGUAAAAUAAAGGAAUUGCUUCUGGAUGCCAGAAAUUGUUUUUUAGGCUAUUUUUUUAUUUCUGCUUAGUACCAAACUGAUCAGUACUUUCCAUAUAUGCUUGUUUCAAUGAGGACCAGCUUCUCAGAAGUUAAUCAAGUGUCAUCCAGGGCCUCUUCCUUUAUCAAACUAGACACAAAUGAGCUGUGCCCAUCAGUAAACCUUGGUUCUUUGCAGGUAUAUUUAGGAAAAGGUACUACAGCUUUACGUAUCCAUACUCCACGCUGCGUCUCCUGCAUCCUGAAAUUGUGGUCAUGAAUGUAUGUAUGUACAUGUAUGUAUACAAAUGUGUGAAUAUCUGUCCUGGUGGUAGCAGCAGCAGAUCCUGGCAAGAUCCAAGAUUGGCCAAGUACUGCCAUCUACAGAGAAGGAGUAUAGAGGAUUGGGGUUUUUUCAAAAAUAUACAACAGUGAGGAUUUUUCAAAUUGCCAGAAUUGCAAACGCUACCUCUAUCAAUGAUGCCACCAAAGCUUUAUUCAGGAGCCUCUUCUAGGUUAGGAUAUUGAGAUAGACACGUGUGACACUUUAUGUGAGGAGAAACAAGAAAUGGUUGUUUAUUUGUAGUUUGAACAGUAAAUACGUGUCAUGGUUUCAUUAACAUUGAACAGUAAAGAUGCUUAACGGUUUCAUUAAAGGCUUAUGCUUUUC
rnacentral:lncRNA from 11 species